rnacentral:rRNA from 1 species
AAAGAAACUAACAAGGAUUCCCCUAGUAGCGGCGAGCGAAGCGGGAUGAGCUCAAAUUUGAAAUCUGGCGUCUUUCAGGCGUCCGAGUUGUAAUCUAUAGAAGCGUUUUCUGUGCUGGACCAUGUCCAAGUCCCUUGGAACAGGGUAUCAAAGAGGGUGACAAUCCCGUACUUGACAUGACCACCAGUGCUCUGUGAUACGUUUUCGACGAGUCGAGUUGUUUGGGAAUGCAGCUCAAAAUGGGUGGUAAAUUCCAUCUAAAGCUAAAUAUUGGCGAGAGACCGAUAGCGAACAAGUACCGUGAGGGAAAGAUGAAAAGCACUUUGGAAAGAGAGUUAAACAGUACGUGAAAUUGUUGAAAGGGAAACGAUUGAAGUCAGUCGUGUCUAUUGGUUUCAGCCGGUUCUGCCGGUGUAUUACCUUUAGACGGGUCAACAUCAGUUUUGGACGGCACAUAAGGGCAGAUUGAAUGUGGCACCUCCGGGUGUGUUAUAGCUUUCUGCCGCAUAUGCUGUCCGAGACUGAGGACUGCAGCUCGCCUUUUAGGCCGGGGUUCGCCCACGUUCGAGCUUAGGAUGUUGACAUAAUGGCUUUAAACGACCCGUCUUGAAACACGGACCA